rnacentral:rRNA from 1 species
UACGGAGGAUCCAAGCGUUAUCCGGAUUUAUUGGGUUUAAAGGGAGCGUAGGCGGCUCGUUAAGUCAGGGGUGAAAGACGGUGGCUCAACCAUCGCAGUGCCUUUGAUACUGACGGGCUUGAAUAUAGUUGAGGUGGGCGGAAUGUGACAAGUAGCGGUGAAAUGCAUAGAUAUGUCACAGAACACCGAUUGCGAAGGCAGCUCACUAAGCUAUGAUUGACGCUGAGGCUCGAAAGCGUGGGGAUCAAACAGG